UACGAAGGGGGCUAGCGUUGCUCGGAAUCACUGGGCGUAAAGGGUGCGUAGGCGGGUCGUUUAAGUCAGGGGUGAAAUCCUGGAGCUCAACUCCAGAACUGCCUUUGAUACUGAGGAUCUUGAGUUCGGGAGAGGUGAGUGGAACUGCGAGUGUAGAGGUGAAAUUCGUAGAUAUCGGGAAGAACACCAGUGGCGAAAGCGCUAC
rnacentral:rRNA from 1 species